rnacentral:rRNA from 1 species
GACGAACGCUGGCGGCGCGCCUAACACAUGCAAGUCGAACGAGAGAUGAGGAGCUUGCUCUUCAAAUCGAGUGGCGAACGGGUGAGUAACGCGUGAGGAACCUGCCUCAAAGAGGGGGACAACAGUUGGAAACGACUGCUAAUACCGCAUAAGCCCACGGCUCGGCAUCGAGCAGAGGGAAAAGGAGCAGUCCGCUUUGAGAUGGCCUCGCGUCCGAUUAGCUAGUUGGUGAGGUAACGGCCCACCAAGGCGACGAUCGGUAGCCGGACUGAGAGGUUGAACGGCCACAUUGGGACUGAGACACGGCCCAGACUCCUACGGGAGGCAGCAGUGGGGAAUAUUGCACAAUGGGGGAAACCCUGAUGCAGCGACGCCGCGUGGAGGAAGAAGGUCUUCGGAUUGUAAACUCCUGUUGUUGAGGAAGAUAAUGACGGUACUCAACAAGGAAGUGACGGCUAACUACGUGCCAGCAGCCGCGGUAAAACGUAGGUCACAAGCGUUGUCCGGAAUUACUGGGUGUAAAGGGAGCGCAGGCGGGAGAACAAGUUGGAAGUGAAAUCCAUGGGCUCAACCCAUGAACUGCUUUCAAAACUGUUUUUCUUGAGUAGUGCAGAGGUAGGCGGAAUUCCCGGUGUAGCGGUGGAAUGCGUAGAUAUCGGGAGGAACACCAGUGGCGAAGGCGGCCUACUGGGCACCAACUGACGCUGAGGCUCGAAAGUGUGGGUAGCAAACAGGAUUAGAUACCCUGGUAGUCCACACCGUAAACGAUGAUUACUUAGGUGUUGGAGGAUUGACCCCUUCAGUGCCGCAGUUAACACAAUAAGUAAUCCACCUGGGGAGUACGACCGCAAGGUUGAAACUCAAAGGAAUUGACGGGGGCCCGCACAAGCAGUGGAGUAUGUGGUUUAAUUCGUCGCAACGCGAAGAACCUUACCAAGUCUUGACAUCCCUUGACGAACAUAGAAAUAUGUUUUCUCUUCGGAGCAAGGAGACAGGUGGUGCAUGGUUGUCGUCAGCUCGUGUCGUGAGAUGUUGGGUUAAGUCCCGCAACGAGCGCAACCCUUAUGGUCAGUUACUACGCAAGAGGACUCUGGCCAGACUGCCGUUGACAAAACGGAGGAAGGUGGGGAGGACGUCAAAUCAUCAUGCCCCUUAUGACUUGGGCUACACACGUACUACAAUGGCGUUAAACAAAGAGAAGCAAGACCGCGAGGUGGAGCAAAACUCAGAAACAACGUCCCAGUUCGGACUGCAGGCUGCAACUCGCCUGCACGAAGUCGGAAUUGCUAGUAAUCGUGGAUCAGCAUGCCACGGUGAAUAAGUUCCCGGGCCUUGUACACACCUCCCGUCAAGGG